GUGCCAGCAGCCGCGGUAAUACCGGCAGCCCAAGUGAUGGCCGAUAUUAUUGGGCCUAAAGCGUCCGUAGCUGGCCGCGCAAGUUCGUCGGGAAAUCAACUCGCUUAACGAGUGGGCGCCCGGCGAAAACUGUGCGGCUUGGGACCGGAAGAUCCAAGGGGUACGUCCGGGGUAGGAGUGAAAUCCCGUAAUCCUGGACGGACCACCUAUGGCGAAAGCACCUUGGAAGGACGGAGCCGACAGUGAGGGACGAAAGCUAGGGUCUCGAACCGGAUUAGAUACCCCGGUAGUCC
rnacentral:rRNA from 1 species